AGUGAACGCUGGCGGUAGGCCUAACACAUGCAAGUCGAACGGCAGCACAGUAAGAGCUUGCUCUUACGGGUGGCGAGUGGCGGACGAGUGAGGAAUACAUCGGAAUCUACUUUUUCGUGGGGGAUAACGUAGGGAAACUUACGCUAAUACCGCAUACGACCUACGGGUGAAAGCAGGGGAUCUUCGGACCUUGCGCGAUUGAAUGAGCCGAUGUCGGAUUAGCUAGUUGGCGGGGUAAAGGCCCACCAAGGCGACGAUCCGUAGCUGGUCUGAGAGGAUGAUCAGCCACACUGGAACUGAGACACGGUCCAGACUCCUACGGGAGGCAGCAGUGGGGAAUAUUGGACAAUGGGCGCAAGCCUGAUCCAGCCAUACCGCGUGGGUGAAGAAGGCCUUCGGGUUGUAAAGCCCUUUUGUUGGGAAAGAAAAGCAGCAGGUUAAUACCCCGCUGUUCUGACGGUACCCAAAGAAUAAGCACCGGCUAACUUCGGG
rnacentral:rRNA from 1 species